GGGGGGAAAACCCAAUUUUGCUAGGAGGCGUCGAGCGGCGGACGGGUGAGUAAUGCAUAGGAAUCUGCCCGAUAGUGGGGGAUAACCUGGGGAAACUCAGGCUAAUACCGCAUACGUCCUACGGGAGAGAGCAGGGGAUCUUCGGACCUUGCGCUAUCGGAUGAGCCUAUGUCGGAUUAGCUAGUUGGUGAGGUAACGGCUCACCAAGGCGACGAUCCGUAGCUGGUCUGAGAGGAUGAUCAGCCACACUGGGACUGAGACACGGCCCAGACUCCUACGGGAGGCAUCAGUGGGGAAUAUUGGACAAUGGGGGAAACCCUGAUCCAGCCAUGCCGCGUGUGUGAAGAAGGCCUUCGGGUUGUAAAGCACUUUCAGCAAGGAAGAAUGCCUGGGGGCUAAUACCCCUCAGGAAGGACAUCACUCGCAGAAGAAGCACCGGCUAACUCCGUGCCACCAGCCGCGGUAAUACGGAGGGUGCGAGCGUUAAUCGGAAUUACUGGGCGUAAAGCGCGCGUAGGUGGCUUGAUAAGCCGGUUGUGAAAGCCCCGGGCUCAACCUGCGAACGGCAUCCGGAACUGUCAAGCUAGAGUGCAGGAGAGGAAGGUAGAAUUCCCGGUGUAGCGAUGAAAUGCGUAGAGAUCGGGAGGAAUACCACUGGCGAAAGCGGCCUUCUGGACUGACACUGACACUGAAGUGCUAAAGCGUUGGUAGCAAACAGGAUAGAUUCCCUGGUAGUCCACGCCGUUAACGAUGUCGACU
rnacentral:rRNA from 1 species